rnacentral:rRNA from 1 species
UACGUAGGGUGCGAGCGUUGUCCGGAAUUAUUGGGCGUAAAGGGCUCGUAGGCGGUCUGUUGCGUCGGGAGUGAAAACUCAGGGCUUAACCCUGAGCCUGCUUCCGAUACGGGCAGACUAGAGGUAUGCAGGGGAGAACGGAAUUCCUGGUGUAGCGGUGAAAUGCGCAGAUAUCAGGAGGAACACCGGUGGCGAAGGCGGUUCUCUGGGCAUUACCUGACGCUGGGGAGCGAAAGUGUGGGGAGCGAACAGG